GAACGAACGCUGGCGGCAGGCCUAACACAUGCAAGUCGAACGCCCCGCAAGGGGAGUGGCAGACGGGUGAGUAACACGUGGGAACCUUCCCUAUAGUACGGAAUAGCCCAGGGAAACUUGGAGUAAUACCGUAUACGCCCGAAAGGGGAAAGAAUUUCGCUAUAGGAUGGGCCCGCGUAGGAUUAGCUAGUUGGUGAGGUAAUGGCUCACCAAGGCGACGAUCCUUAGCUGGUUUGAGAGAACGACCAGCCACACUGGGACUGAGACACAGUCCAGACUCCUACGGGAGGCAGCAGUGGGGAAUAUUGCACAAUGGAGGGAACUCUGAUGCAGCGACGCCGCGUGAGUGAAGAAGGUCUUCGGAUCGUAAAACUCUGUCCUUGGUGAAGAAAAGGACGGUAGCCAAGGAGGAAGCCCCGGCUAACUACGUGCCAGCAGCCGCGGUAAUACGUAGGGGGCGAGCGUUGUCCGGAUUUACUGGGCGUAAAGGGUGAGUAGGCGGUUAUAUAUGUCAGGUGUAAAAAGCUAUGGCUUAACCAUAGUAAGCACUUGAAACUGUAUGACUUGAGUGCAGGAGAGGUAAGCGGAAUUCCUAGUGUAGCGGUGAAAUGCGUAGAUAUUAGGAGGAACACCGGUGGCGAAGGCGGCUUACUGGACUGUAACUGACGCUGAGUCACGAAAGCGUGGGUAGCAAACAGGAUUAGAUACCCUGGUAGUCCACGCUGUAAACGAUGAGUGCUAGGUGUUGGGUAGCGAUAUUCAGUGCCGGAGUAAACACAAUAAGCACUCCGCCUGGGGAGUACGGUCGCAAGACUGAAACUCAAAGGAAUUGACGGGGACCCGCACAAGCAGCGGAGCAUGUGGUUUAAUUCGAAGCAACGCGAAGAACCUUACCAAGGCUUGACAUCCCCUUGACAGAUGCAGAGAUGUAUCCUCCCCUUCGGGGGCAAGGGAGACAGGUGGUGCAUGGUUGUCGUCAGCUCGUGUCGUGAGAUGUUGGGUUAAGUCCCGCAACGAGCGCAACCCUUAUCCUUAGUUGCCAGCAUUUAAGGUGGGCACUCUAAGGAGACUGCCGGUGAUAAACCGGAGGAAGGUGGGGAUGACGUCAAAUCAUCAUGCCCCUUAUGUCUUGGGCUACACACGUGCUACAAUGGUCGGUACAACGGGCAGCUAUGGAGCGAUCCGGAGCAAAUCCCAAUAAACCGAUCCCAGUUCGGAUUGCAGGCUGCAACUCGCCUGCAUGAAGUCGGAGUUGCUAGUAAUCGCGAAUCAGAACGUCGCGGUGAAUGCGUUCCCGGGUCU
rnacentral:rRNA from 1 species